rnacentral:rRNA from 1 species
CACGCAGGCGGAUCGUUAAGUCAGGGGUGAAAUCCCGAGGCUCAACCUCGGAACUGCCUUUGAUACUGGCGAUCUUUGAGUCCGGGGGAGGUGAGUGGAACUCCGAGUGUAGAGGUGAAAUUCGUAGAUAUUCGGAAGAACACCAGUGGCGAAGGCGGCUCACUGGCCCGGUACUGACGCUCAUGUGCGAAAGCGUGGGGAGCAAACA